rnacentral:rRNA from 1 species
UACGUAGGUGGCAAGCGUUGUCCGGAUUUAUUGGGUUUAAAGGGUGCGUAGGCGGCUUUGUAAGUCAGUGGUGAAAUAUGGCAGCUUAACUGUCAAGGUGCCAUUGAUACUGCGGAGCUUGAGUACAGAUGAGGUAGGCGGAAUUGACGGUGUAGCGGUGAAAUGCUUAGAUAUCGGCAAGAACACCUAUAGCGAAGGCAGCUUACUAGUCUGGAACUGACGCUGAGGCACGAAAGUGUGGGGAUCAAACAGG